rfam:Paenibacillus larvae subsp. larvae DSM 25430, complete genome.
AGUACCUUUAACAGACAGUCCAGAGAGGCUGGCAAGGUAAACGACGAUAAGAGUACUCAUCAGCAUGCGUGCUGGUGAAUACCCUGAAGGGCACGCUGUGCCUAUCAGGGGAGCUGCUCCAUAUAUUUUCGUGUGCACAUAAGAGUGUAAAACUCCUUGCCGCCAGGGCAAGGAGUUUUUUUGUU